GGGGACUUCGGUCCGCCGGCGAGUGGCGAACGGGUGAGUAAAGUAUCGGAACGUACCUUUCAGUGGGGGAUAACGUAGCGAAAGUUACGCUAAUACCGCAUAUUCUGUGAGCAGGAAAGCAGGGGAUCGCAAGACCUUGCGCUGAUUGAGCGGCCGAUAUCAGAUUAGCUAGUUGGUGGGGUAAAGGCCUACCAAGGCGACGAUCUGUAGCGGGUCUGAGAGGAUGAUCCGCCACACUGGAACUGAGACACGGUCCAGACUCCUACGGGAGGCAGCAGUGGGGAAUUUUGGACAAUGGGGGCAACCCUGAUCCAGCCAUGCCGCGUGAGUGAAGAAGGCCUUCGGGUUGUAAAGCUCUUUCGGCCGGGAAGAAAUCGCACAGGCUAAUACCCUGUGUGGAUGACGGUACCGGAAUAAGAAGCACCGGCUAACUACGUGCCAGCAGCCGCGGUAAUACGUAGGGUGCGAGCGUUAAUCGGAAUUACUGGGCGUAAAGCGUGCGCAGGCGGUUUCGUAAGACAGAGGUGAAAUCCCCGGGCUCAACCUGGGAACUGCCUUUGUGACUGCGAGGCUAGAGUAC
rnacentral:rRNA from 1 species